rnacentral:pre_miRNA from 1 species
AGCCUUCUGUAUCCGUGCUGAGAUUUCGUCACACACCAGACCACAA